rnacentral:rRNA from 1 species
UACGUAGGGGGCUAGCGUUGUCCGGAAUCAUUGGGCGUAAAGCGCGUGUAGGCGGUCCGGUAAGUCCGCUGUGAAAGUCGGGGGCUCAACCCUCGAAUGCCGGUGGAUACUGUCAGACUAGAGUACGGAAGAGGCGAGUGGAAUUCCGUGGUGUAGCGGUGAAAUGCGCAGAUAUCAGGAGGAACACCCAUUGCGAAGGCAGCUCGCUGGGACGUUACUGACGCUGAGACGCGAAAGCGUGGGGAGCAAACAGG